GAGUUUGAUCCUGGCUCAAAACGUACGCUGGCGGCACGCCUUAUACAUGCAAGUCGAACGGAGUAACAAUACUCGCUGGCAGACGGGUGAGUAACAUGUAGGUAUCUUCCCUUUGGUGAGGAAUAACACAAGGAAACUUGUGCUAAUACCUCAUAAGUCUUUACGGAGAAAGCUUUUUGCGCCAUUGGAUGAGCCUGCACUUGAUUAGUUUGUGGGUAGGGCAAUGGCCUAUCUGGACUGUGAUCAAUAAUUGAUCUGAGAGGAUGAUCAGCCACAUUGGGGCGGACACACGGGCCAAACUCGUACGGGAGGACUUGGUAGGGACUAUUCCUCCCUGGAGGAAACUCUGAUGCAUCGAUGCCGCGUGAGUGAAGAAGGCCUUUGGGUUGUAAAGCUCUUUCGGCGGGGAAGAAAAUGACUGUACCCGAAUAACAAGGUCCGGCUAGCUUCCUGCCAUCCGCCGCGGUAAUACGAAGGGACCUACCGUGGACGGAAUUACUGGGCCUAAAGAGUUCGUAGGUGGUAAAAAAAGUUGGUGGGAAAUCCCAGAGCUUAACUCUGGAACUGCAUCAAAACUUUUCGCUAGAGUAUGAUAGAGGAAAGCAGAAUUUCUAGUGUAGAGGUGCAGUCGUAGAUAUUAGAAAGAAUGCCGAUUGCGAAGGCAGCUUUCUGGAUCAUUACUGACACUGAGGAAUGAAAGCAUGGGUAGCGAAGAGGAUUAGAUACCCUCGUAGUCCAUGCUGUAAACGAUGUGUGUUAGACGUUGGAAAUUUAUUAUCAGUGUCGCAGCGAAAGCAACAAACACACCGCCUGGGGAGUACGACCGCAAGGUUAAAACUCAAAUGAAUUGACGGGGACCCGCACAAGUAGUGGAGCAUGUGGUUUAAUUCGAAGAUACGCGCAGAACCUUACCAACACUUGACAUGUUCGUCGCGACUCUAAGAGAUUAGAGUUUUCGGUUCGUCCGGACGAAACACAGGUGCUGCAUGGCUGUUGUCAGCUCGUGUCGUGAGAUGUUGGGUUAAGUCCCGCAACGAGCGCAACCCUCACUUUUAGUUGCCAUCAUUAAGUUGGGCACUGUGAAAGAACUGCCAGUGAUAAGCUGGAGGAAGGUGGGGAUGACGUCAAGUCCUCAUGGCCCUUACGUGUUGGGCUACACACGUGCUACAAUGGCAUUGACAAUAGGAAACAAGACGGCGACGUCAAGCAAAUCCUAAAAAGAUGCCUCAGUUCGGAUUGUACUUUGCAACUCGAAUACAUGAAGCUGGAAUUACUAGUAAUCGCGGAUCAGCGCGCCGCGGUGAAUACGUUCCCGGGUCUUGUACACACCGCCCGUCACACCAUGGGAGUUGGUUCUACCUUAAGGCAAAGCUUAAAACCUUUGACCACGGUAUAGUCAGCGACUGGGGUGAAGUCGUAACAAGGUAACC
rnacentral:rRNA from 1 species